rnacentral:rRNA from 1 species
UAAUACUCUCGGUCUGACAUUG